UACGUAGGGGGCAAGCGUUGUCCGGAUUUAUUGGGCGUAAAGAGCGUGUAGGCGGCCAGGUAGGUCGGCUGUGAAAACUCGAGGCUCAACCUCGAGAUGUCGGCCGAAACCAUCUGGCUAGAGUCCGGAAGAGGAGAGUGGAAUUCCCGGUGUAGCGGUGAAAUGCGCAGAUAUCGGGAAGAACACCCGUGGCGAAGGCGGCUCUCUGGGACGGUACUGACGCUGAGGAGCGAAAGCGUGGGGAGCGAACAGG
rnacentral:rRNA from 1 species